UGGGGAAUAUUGCACAAUGGGCGCAAGCCUGAUGCAGCCAUGCCGCGUGUAUGAAGAAGGCCUUCGGGUUGUAAAGUACUUUCAGCGGGGAGGAAGGUGUUGAGGUUAAUAACCUCAGCAAUUGACGUUACCCGCAGAAGAAGCACCGGCUAACUCCGUGCCAGCAGCCGCGGUAAUACGGAGGGUGCAAGCGUUAAUCGGAAUUACUGGGCGUAAAGCGCACGCAGGCGGUCUGUCAAGUCGGAUGUGAAAUCCCCGGGCUCAACCUGGGAACUGCAUUCGAAACUGGCAGGCUAGAGUCUUGUAGAGGGGGGUAGAAUUCCAGGUGUAGCGGUGAAAUGCGUAGAGAUCUGGAGGAAUACCGGUGGCGAAGGCGGCCCCCUGGACAAAGACUGACGCUCAGGUGUGAAAGCGUGGGGAGCAAACA
rnacentral:rRNA from 1 species